rnacentral:lncRNA from 1 species
CCUCCCACGGCACAGGACAGGGCCUGGCACAGGACAAAUCUCCGGUGCAUUUAAGUCAGUUGCUCGCCAUCGUCAUUCCCCUCACGUGUGAGCACAGCUUUGCAGACCACGAGCCCCGCGGUAGACGGUCUUUAUCACAUCGUGGCCCCAGGCUUCUGCGUUCCAGCACCUGUGUGACUCUGCCCAGUCUGCAUCGCCACAGGGAUCGAUAUAUGAAGAAAUAGUUAACACGGUAACUGUCUGAUCCUUGUUAUGGAUUUUUUAGCCAUUUGAGGCUCUGGGGGCUUCCUCGCUUUGAGUCAGUACUUACUAAAUUUAGCUUUUCUAGUUUUGGGUAUUAUGCUUAUAAAGAAUUGAGGUGGGUGUUAAAAUUAUCAUUUGGGAAAAUUCUCCUAUUGCCUGUUUUUCUAGUUCAGAUUGCAGUCCUGUCCUGUGGUCCUGACAGCUCUUGAACAUGCACACAUGUGUGUUUGCUGCAUUAAAGUCACACAAAAUUCUUUCACUGAUGACAAUGGACAGCCUUAUUUUAUAGGUUGCUUGUACUUGAAAAGCCCACCCCUCCCCAUAUUUAUAAUUUAUUACUUUGAAUGAAAUGGGUUCAUCAUUGUGCUUUUUUGCCUGAAUCACAUCCCAACUGGACUACAUAGACCAUCAUGUGAAGAAGUAGAAAAUAACUUGUUUACACUAAAAACAAACCUGCCAAUAUAUUUUAGCUGAACAGUGUACUAUAAAUAGUAAGCUAUUUGCUAACAGUUUCCAUUUUAAACUUAGAAUUGCUGCUGAUGGAUACUAACUUGGCACUAUUCCUGGGAGCUUUGCUUCAGCCAUUUAGUUGUUAGAUAGCAGUUAAAAUAUAUAGGACCUUCACAUUCGGAGAAACUACUGUCGAUGGGGCAAAGGAUAAACUUGUCUGCAAUAUGAAUCCACAAGUAUUUUUAAAAUGAAUGAAAAUUUGCAUUGAUUCUUUGCCAUUAAUCAAGGUAAGAGAGUCUCUUUCAACAUUUCUGUGUUACUUACAAAUCAAAGAUAAACUUACAGAAAAGUAAUACACUAAUGCUUUUGGACGAUCAUGAUUUCUUUCUUUAUACUUUUCUUGUCUGGUGCGUCAUCAGAUUACAGAUGUGGAUAUAUUCUCUGGUUCUUCCUCUCGUUUCAAUCAGAAUUUAGCCAGGGUUCCUCGCUGAAGAUCAUGUUCACAGGAAUUUCUGUUUCUUUUUCCUCAGCACUGGGGGUUAAACCCAAGGGUGCCUACCACUGAGCUACAUCCCUCGCCCUUUUUAAAAGCCUUAUUGAGACAGGGUCUCACUGUGUUCUCGGGCUGGCCUUGAACUUUCGAUCUUCCUGCUGAGCUCAGACUUCCAUGUCACCAGGAUCACAGGUGUGUACUGUAAUGCCCAGAGAAAUCUCCCAGUUUUUAAAACCACAGACUAAUAGGUGAAAGGGCUCAGUUAUUUUUUCAUUACAGCAGCUUUUCUGGUGUUGAUGGUAGGUAAAAAUAAUAAGAUUUUUGUUUGUUUGUUUGUUUUGGUACCGGGGAAUCAGCUCGGGUCCUUGUGCUUGUGCAGCAGGUGACGAAUCCACUGAGCUAAAUCCCUGGCCAAUAAAUAAGACUUUUUAAAACUUCAUUUGGCAAAGUCUGCUGAGAACUAGAAAGAUGGUUUGUUUUUUAAAUAAAUGUUUUGACAUAGAUGUAGUUGAAAGGGAAUGGAAAAUCAUUUCACAGUUGAUAGAUAUCAGAACAAACUUUCAGCUCAUGACUGGAGUUGAAGUAUGUCAUCUAUACACUAGUUUUAUGUUGCAUACUAUAAAUAUGCAAUGAAAUACAGGACAGCUUUGUUCACAUUUGAAUCAUUAGAGAAGCUUUGGACAAAACCCCGGGCCUCUUGACGACGUAAUCUGUGGGACUGAAACUUAGGCAGGCAUCUGUGUUCGGGAGCCCUAAGGUGAUUCUAAUGCUCGCCUCGGCUGCAGAGUUCCCAGUAAAUGCUUUGGCAGUUGACACACGGGAACGUGCACAGUAUCACACACAUGUGCAGAUAUGCAGGUGCACAAAGUUACAGACACAGAGAGCAAACUGCCAUUCUUUAUGUUGCAUUGUGAAUUUUACUCUAAUAGUGACAUUUAUUAUCAGAAGGGUAACAUUCAAUGAGCUGAGGACCCGAGUUCUCAGGGCCCUUACGGAGCGAUCCCCUGACUUCCCCCAAUACUCACACGGGUGUGUUUUCUCCAUUUUAACGGUCAGCAGCCGAGGCACAGUGAUGCCAAGUCCCUUCUCCAGAGCCACAGCACUGGUAAGUUAUGGAGCCAGACUUUGAAAAUGAGCCCUGGAUUUCAGGUUCUCAGCUGCUUGUCGUUUGCUGCACUGCCUUUAGUAGCUCUUCCUGGGUACUCUGUGGUUUUAAGGGGGAAAAAAAUGCAUGCUGCUUAGCACUGCUUUGGAAAUAAAGAUAAGGUCAUCAGAAAUUUCUGUCACUGUUUCAGUCUGACUUGGUACAAGAAAUCUAAUUUGCUAAAAUCGUUCUAUGUUUUAAUAGUUUUUAAAAUUAAAUGCAUCCUGGGUUAAAAGAGAAAGUUCGACUAAUGUGCAGAAAUCUCAGCGAUUACCUGGAAGUUUCUAAGCAGUAAGGAGCCUACCUCCUCCGCCUCCCCCCCCCUUUUUUUUUAAAGUAAUGUAGGCUAAAGAUCAAAUCUUUUUGCCCUGGGGGCUCUUGGUUCUCUGAUUUCAGCACCACGCUUGGCCGAGGACCAAGCUGGGCGGCCGGCAGAGGGCAGCCGCGUCCCGCGACUGGGCUCCUCUCCCGGGGCGCUGUGUGAACCGGGGUCUUUCUCCUGGUGUCCCUUACUGGUCCUGAAAGGCCAUCGGUGCCUUUAUCUGAAUGAGGACUGGAUCGAUCUCGUCGGGGAACCCGAGCCCGGGCCGGGGGCUCUGUUGCAUAGGCGCCGGGCCUGCGCGGGCCUGCAGGGCUUGUGCGGACUCCGGAGGCGACGACCCAGGACUUUCUGCAACACUUCCUGUAGAUCUGCUUCACAGACCGCCACCAGCGAAGGCCGGCUGGGCCUGGCGCUCUCCGCCUAAUACACCAUGUAAUGCGGCGCAGAUGGAGAGUUGUCUUUCGCCAAAUCAUUCCCCCGAGAGGCUGGUGGGCCCCCGGCUGUCUGCUGCACGGAGCGAGGCCCGGGUCCGGGUGCCCUGCUUCGCAAGGCCUCGUGAGCCAUAGUUAGCAGAGAAAACAGUGGUGCUGCCCCUUCCCUCCACACCCAUUUGAGCAUCCUGGCUGCUCUUUGCCUUACGUGGAAUUACACGGAACUAUUCAGACGGCUGUAAUCCAGACAGCUGCCUAGAUGAACAUGCGUUUUUGGAUUGAGGUUUCCAGUCAGAAGUUCUAGCAGAGCCAGAGCCCUGUGUCUGCAGGCCCCAGACCCUGGGGAUGUUCCCGGCGCUGUCUGAGCUGAAAGACACGGAGAAAUGCUCUGUGACGCUGACGCUCUCAGGUCUCUGUGAGUGCUACUCGGAUAACCUGGGGCACAACUGCUCUACACGCUCUUUGCUGAGGUGGUUUUUUUUUUAAUCAUUGGGCCAGAAUCCGAGGAAAUACGUUUUCGGAAACAGGACACCUUGUUCAGAAGUUGACAGGUGCAAGCACAUAUUUGUGUUCCUGAGAGCAAGUGAGGAGGGAGAUGGGCUGGAAGCUCGCAUUUGUGGAAGCUCCUUUCCUCUCUAGCUGGUCUCGGGGGGGGAAGGUGAUGAAGGCCGACCCGGCGUUAGCUGUGAUUGUCCUGGGUGAAGCAGUGUGAAGCAAGGAGGCAUCGUGGGCACCGUGGGUGCCUUCACACUGGCCAAGCAAGGGCAGGAGAGCUGCUUGCUGUUGAUUCGUGGGGGUUUCUUUAUACUCCAUCACCAGGAAAUCAGUGACACUUAUCCAAGGCCUUCUAGUAAGGUAGUUCAUGGAAUAAGUCUGUUUUAUGGACAAGCUGCCAUCCAAUCACUAUUUGACAGUUUAAAACAAAGGAGACUAUCAAGAUAGUCAGUUUUGUUCAGUGAAUAAAAGAAAGUUGUCCUCACGCUAUUUCUACAGAGUCCAGGCAGCUCUGGAGCUGAGGUAGUAUCAGCGGUCCACAGGAAGUUGGAUUUAGUGCUAAGAAUCAAACUUCUGUAGGCUACUUUUUAGAUCCACAAGAUAUCAUUCCCAAUUUUAAUUAAAUAUCAGAAACUUAAAAUCUAUUAACUAAUUCUUUAAUUCAAGAAAUAUUCCAGUGCUUACUUUAUGUAGGUGAUGUACCAAUGAACAAGGAAGAUGUGGCCUCAUGCCCAAGGAUUCAGAUUUUUCCAGGGGUCAGAAAGCUUAAACAACUAACUACACUGUCAUUAAAAGUUAUAAACAAGUAAGUACAAAAUGGUUUUUAAAGUAUACCAUGCUAUUUGUGCUAAAGAAGUAUAAAAGUCAUGACGAUAUUCAGAGUCUCACACAAUCUGGGAUUUCAAAGAAGAGCUCUUUAAAGUUAAUUUAAAUUUCUUUAUCUAAAAUAAGAUUUUGACAUACACAUUAUCUAUUUACACUGAUGGAUGUGGGCUUUUUAUUUAGACAGAAUGUCUAUAGAAUAACUGAAGGAGAAAAAUAUGCAAGAACUAAGAAAAAAAUUGGUAACUUCUGCUUUGAACAAAUAUAGAUAGAUCAGAUCAGUGCUAUAACCUCUCCCCAAAUCUCUUACAUGUGAGAAGUCAUAUAUCCAUUUAGAUGGGAGAAAUUAUAUUUGUCUUUUAGAAAUGUAUUUAACUAUCAUUUAAAUAAACUAAAAUUGGUUUUUAUGUUACUUUGGAAGAUGAUCCACAACAGAACCAUACAAGUUGAGUAAGUUUUCCUGGAAAUGAACAGGCUAAAAGUUGGGAUGAUUUCCUAAGGAAAAACAUGUUGGGUAUGGAGGAACAAAAAUCUACAGAAAAAACAUUAUAGAAAAACAAGUCAGAAAGAUAUGUGAUGCUCUAUGUAUUGCUUUGUCUGUUCUUGUGAAAGGUAAAUGAGACCUUUACAACAUAAACACUAGCUCAGAGUUUGAGGGAGACAAAAAGCCAUUCAUACUUUUUUGAUUACAUUCUUAUACCUUUCCAAAUAUAAAGGAUUAGUGAAUGAGGAUAGAAUUUGAUUUUAAUAAUGGAAGUUUUUAAAGACUUUCUGGAAAUGUCUGAGAACUGGAGAAAGAGAGAGAGAGAGAGAGAGAGAGAGAGAGAGAGAGAGAGAGAGAGAAUGAGAGCUUGUUCUUAAUUUUAUUUUGUGUUUAGUUCCAAGAAAUCACUUCAAAGAAAUCUUCUAAGAAAUCGUUUGCAAUCUCCCUGAUGUAUAGUAUAUAAAGAUGUUUGGAGCAAAUAGUUAAAUUCGAGAAUGUUUUACGCUCCUUAAUAGUGAUGGAUGUUUUCCUUGAUACUUCACCCUUGGCUGCUCUUCAAACAUAGUGCUACUGAUGAUGUUUAAUGAACUAGCUUUAUUUGUUGUGGUGAAAUAAGAAAAGAUUUGCUAAAUCUUUGAACUCAUAAAACAUUAUUAAUAUUAUGAAAAGGACAGUGACCACCUGCCCUCUGUCUCCGUUGAAGCAGAACAUGAGGAAAUACACUGCAGUAUGAGGCAGUUAUGUUAGAAUAACUGAGAAAUUUCCUGGCAGGGGCGUUAAGCAUUGCAAUGAAUCAGGAAGAAGGUUGUGAACUCUUCUUAGAGUCUGAUUCCCUUAUUAAAUAGCAUGAUCUAUCUUCGGUGUUGCUAGUCUCACCUGUAAGCUGGUAAACCUCUCAAGCUUUAGCUGUCUCCAGUAUUUCAUGAAGAUGUUCGUGUCAGAGGGAGGACCAGGAAAAGCUAACAAAAUCAAACAAUAGCCGAGAUUCGGUGAGUGUUUGUUCUGUGCUAGGCUCUGUAUGAAGAACUUUAUAAGCACUCUCCCAUUUGAACAUGGCAAUGGCCCAGGUAUUUCAGCCCCUAUGGGUUCUGUGAACAGACGCUGACUGCUACACACCAGCAGAUUUGUUUCUUAAAAUUACCAUCAACUCAAAAAUGUAUGAUGAAGGUUUAUAGACAAAUCAUCAUUGGUGAUGCUAUCCUCAUUUUGAGAAGGAGUUCUCUAGCCUGGAAAGGACUGGGUCAGGUCUCUUUGGAGGUACAAAGGUAACAGAGCACCUGGCUCUUGAGAUACUCAUGUGUCAGAGGCUUCGUGUUGUUUUUGAUGAUGUCACUAUGGGUGCUCCAAAGUUCAGAUUUCAACUUGAAAAAUUCAGUGAGCUGAAGAUCACAUUUCCCCUCCCAGAGGCAGAACACACUUCUGCAAAAGAAUAACUUAUGUUCUUGAUAGCACUUGACCUUGAAAGCUCAAAUACCUAUGUCCUUCCCACUGUUCUUUCUUCUUCUGAAACAAACCUUCACCCCAGGUUUUCGUAGUGGCUAAGUCUGAGGUCUGGCCUGACUUUGCCAGAUUUUUGUGAUGAGUCUUACUUUUGCACUUACUCCUUGUGCUUUUUACAUUGUAAUCUUAGCAACAGGGACAGGCCUUGAUUUAACAGCCUCAUGGUAAGUCUGCCCAGAGGUUUUGCCAAUGGAAAUGUAGAAAGUCCAGUGGCAAGAAAUAGUUAUGAAAACAUGCACAGUGGCGAAUACUUCGCUAGAACCCCCUGAGUUCAGGAAACUAAACAUUUUCCUCUGUUGAUAGAGCUUCCCGACUGCAUUCCUUUCCUCUAGCUCUGUCUGCCGUUUCCAGGAGGUCUAAUCUAAAUUACGUGAAUAUCAGAUGCCCCCAAGGGCCGAGUACAGAACAAGAGCUGCAGGAGUCACAGCUCUAAUGGGGGCCAUCGAGUCACCACCAUGCAACCCACACAGACUUCAAGACUGAAACAGUUUUCUUGAUGACUUUAAAGUUGUUUCAAAUAAGUUUUUCCCACUUUCUUUCUCUUUCUCCCUUUCCCUUUCUCUUUCUUUCUUUCUCCUCCCCCCUUCCCUCCUCUUUCUUUCCCUUCCCUUCUCUUCAUUUUUUCCCCUCCUCCUUCUUCUUUCCCUCUCCUCUCCCUCCUCCAUUUUAAAGAAAAGCCUCAAUAAAAAAAACAACACAGCAGUAUCUAUAAGGUCAGAUAUUUUCAUGGCUUGGGUAGCUCUCAGAAUAUAAAUUAUGCACCUUGAAAACAAGGAGUAAAUAACUUACUAAUUUUAUCAUUGCCUUCUAGGCUUUGUUUACAUUUAUUUACAUAUUUAUUUAUUUUUAGAAUUUUGCCAUUUCGUCCACGUAGGCCAGUGGCCUUUAAUCUCUUCGGCGCACAGGUGAGCAGGGUAACACGGUGGACACCUGUUUGCUCUCUAAAGUUAGGUAGUCCUGACUGUUAACAGUGCGAAUAGAUUUUCUUAAUAGUUGAGGGGUGCAGCAGAUUACAAAAUGCUUCCUUCAGAACAGCAGGAUGUGAUGCAGAGUAUUCACGUGGUGAAUUAUGAAUGUUCCUAUAAGUUUGAUCAAGUGAUGGGAUCUCCAGCGAUCAAGAGAGGAAUCACUUCCAUCACAGAAAAGACUUUGGAGUCAUUCAACUCUUUACUGAUGAGUGAAACCCUCACAGGCUGUUUUCCCAAAGCAGCAGAAACAUCGAGGAGCAAACACAGAUCCUCUGUAAAAGAAGCGGCAAUCAAUCUAUUGAUUCAUAAUGGAGAUUGAAUGGUGAAGAAUUUUAUACUUUACAUAUUUAAAACAUUUUAACGUUUUUACAAAAAAGACAAAAUGAAGCAAAUUAGCUACAAAUUAUUUUGUUUAUUUAUCUAUAAUUAUGUUUUUUGGUUUAUUUUACUUUUGAAAUUAAUUUUUUGCCAAACUUUUUACUUUGAAAUAACUUUAUAGAAAAUUUGCAAAGAUAGCGCAGAAGGUCCUCAUAUAUUUAUUGUCCAGUUCCACUGUUUUUACUAUUGUGUUUAUCAUGUACAUUUUUCAUAACUAAGAAAUCAACGUUGGUGUGUUACCAAACUCUACUAACCAAACUCCAUAUUUCUUUCAAAUUUAACUAGUUUUCCUAUGAAUCCCUUUUUUCUACUCUAGAAUUCAGAGUUGAAGUAGAAAGUGCACUUUGUUAUGUCUCUUUGGUGUUCCGUGGUCUGUGGCAUCUUUUUCAUGACUUUCAUAGUUUCAGGUACUGGUCAGGGAUUUUUGUACAACAUUCCUCAUUCUGGCUCUGUCUGUUAUUUUCUCACGAGUAGACUAGAGUUAGGGCUGUUGGGUAAGAAGACCACAGAGGCAAAGUGCUCUUAUAUCACAUCAUAUCAGGGGUACAUGCUGUAAACAGGACUUACCACUAUUGUUGAAGAACAAAAUGUCAAUAAUUAUGUCAAUACCUUCAAAGAUCGAAUUGGCUUUUAUUACUGAUUCUUGUGCUGAGAAAUAUCCAGUCUCCAAACAACCUCCAAUGAGCCAGAGAGAGUGGACAAGUUGUAGAGGCAGCAAAAAGCAGAGGAAAUCAAAAACACUGAUCAGGUAGUGAAUCGGUUCUUUCACCAUUAUUGUCCCUGAAGGAGUGCAAAUGAAGUCUUGUUGGCCACCAUCUGUCAUCUGAUUUUCAUAAAGUCAAAUCUCUUCUACUCUUGGAGGUCAUAUCUUUUUUGUAUUCAAUUCCUGCUAAGUUUAUUGUUUUUCUCUCAGUUUUUAUUUUUAAUUAGUACAUGUUUCCAAUACACAGUGAUCAUAUUCCUUACAGGAAGUUGGCACAUGCACAUGACACAUCUCAAUCCAUUUUCAACCCCUUCCCAUUCUCUUUUCUCCUUCCUUCCAUCUCUCAAUCCUCUUCCCUUAUAAGAAAGAUCUAUUUCCAUAGUUCUCAUUAUCUAUCCUUUAUUUGCUCUUCAUUUAAAUUUUGGCUUUCUUAUAAGAGAAACCAUGUGAUAUUUAAGCUUGUGUGUCUGAUUCAUUUCACUUAACAUUAUGGUCUCAAGGUGCAUCCACUUUCCUACAAAUGGCUCAAGUUUAUUCUUUAUGGAAGGUCAGAUCUUGCAAGCAAACAACCUAAGUUUCAUGGUGAUGUGGAAUCUUAGCAUGAGUUACAGUAUUUUGGCCUGCUGCUUUUUCUUUAAACAUUUGUCACUGUUUAAAAUUAUCAGCAUUUCAAAGGUACUCUCUCUCCCCUUUAAUAUUCUAUGGAAGCAAGUCCAGCCCAGCUUUAAGAUUUAAUACUGUCUCACAAUUAUUCAUUCAGAUGACCAGUAGAACUGAAGACAUAAGACACAGUGCUUUGAGUUUCUUAGAGAAAAGGUAUAAAUAAAUGUAAAUGGAACCAUGGAUCUCCUGAUCUUCACUGAGUCGCUUUCUCAUGUUGGAAUAUGACAUUCAGAGCAGGCAAAAGUAAUCAGUAUUUUCUGUCUAUCACUUAGGAUGAAAGAAAGCUGAAGAGAUGUAGGCCAAUUAUACGCUGUCAUGACAAUGGGCCUUCAUCCAAAUCCCCAGGAAGGCAUCACAGGAGAUCUUCAGAUGGCAACACAAUGCACUCCACCAUCACACUCCCAUGCCCAGAUCUUAGCACCAUUUUACAAUCUAUUUACUGUGAUCUUUGAAGAGAUAAAAUCCACUUGCCCAAUCAACAUGAUCUUUGACCUGAACCCAACAACUAUAUUUUUUUAUCCACUAUUAUUUAUGGAAUACCUAUUAUGUGCCAGAACUUUUCAUAUUUUUCUACUUUAUCUUUCAGACAUGAUUUCAUAAAAUACUUUCAUUUUUAUAAGGAAAUUGAAAGAGGUCAAGUAGUUUGGCCAUACCAGCAGAAGUUGCAUUUGGGAUUUAAAAUAAAUUUAUUCUAUUCCAAAGUGCAUAUAUGUGAAAUAAAUAAUUUUUCAAAAAUUUGUCAUAUGAGGAAAAAUCUAAUAUUGUGGAUUCUUGCUAGGUUAACAACAUCAUUAAGAUUUUUCUGUAGUAAGUAAGACUAAUAGCUCUUUUAUUUUUAGACAGUAAUUUUGCAGUCAUGGUAUCCCCAUAAUUUCUAAUAUUAUUUCUCCUGAAUUCACUAGGUAGAUAGAAAUUCAUUACAGUAAAAAGCAUUUAGCUGCAGGUGUACUGGAAGCAAUCAUUCCAUUUUCCUCACACUGCACACGUGCUGCUAAUUUUGUUUUUGUAUUGACAGUCAACAUGAAAAAUGUUUAAUAGUCAAGGUAACAGGGAAAAUCAAAUCAAAGUUCCUCUUGAAUAUUACUUGAGAGAAGUUAAUAUUUUCAGGAUCCAGUUCUUAAUGCUUAAAGACACUAAAAAUAUUAAAAGUCAUGGAGUAUGGAAAAAUCCAUAAAUUCUUGUGAAGCCUCGUAAAAUUAUUUUCCUGGUAGGUGAACAAAGGGCUGAACGAUGCCCAGAUAUACAGGUGAGAAGUCCAUCCCAUUUGUUCAUCUGGAGAACCCUUCCUAGUUGAAUAUGCACGGUAAUAAUUGGUCACUUCUCCAUCACUGUGCUUCUUCCAGAAGCUAUGAGGUGGGUUUUUUGGUUUUGUUUUGGUUUUUGGGUGUGUAGCUACGGGAAAUGGUUACACGGAGCUACACAUUAUUCAGGUUAAUCAUGAGAGCACAGAACAAUUUGCCAUUCCAGUCUCUUGAUGGCCCAGAUUUGAAGUGUCUGCAACUCUGUCCUAACAGCCGCUGGCAUUGUGUAUAAGAGGCCAUCUGGCAAAACUUAAAGUAGGUGACAGUUUUUCCUCCCAUUCUUUUCUCUACCACGUGUGUUACAGUUUCUUUCUUCACUCAGAGCACUUUCUAUUAAUAUGCAGGCCCUCUUGUCAAAGGGAGAAAAUCUGGUCUUUAAAACCUUGCUGUAAGUUAGUUACUCAUCUACCUUUCCCUGAGGUCUGCAUUUUAAGAUAGAAACCCGUAAUGGAACCUGAAUUAACAGCCUUCUGUGGCCGGGACCCGGAGGAUCCAGUCGAAGGCAGAAGACCUGGAGCUCCCUGCAGGGUCCAGUGUGAGUCUAUGUCGGGAAGCAAAGAGUCUGCCCUGGGAGAUGGAAGGAACCGGAGAUGAAUGUCCACAGGCAGGGACAAAGCCCGCAGCUUCUUUGGAGAAGAAAAGAGCAGACUCCCUUCUUUUCCUUUUUAUUCUGUCCAGGCUACAAGUCUAUUGGUUGGUGCCACCCACAUCCGGGGCGGGUCUUCCCUCCUCAGUUUGUGGCCUACCUGUCAAUCAUCCAGAGACACGCGCAGGGCUUUACUGAUUUGCUAGGUGGCUCUUACUCAAGUGAAAGUGCCAUAUCCCAAUUAACGAUUACAUCUAAUAAUGUUCAGAUAAAACGUAUUUUGUGCAAUUGGACUGAUAAAACAUGCAAAAUAUAGCUAUGAGGUCUGCUUGAGAUUCAUAUUUAGUCACAAGAAGCAAGAAUAAUUUCUUCAUUCAAUAAUACUUAGAGAACACUGACUAUGAUGCAAGAAUUUCAGGCACUAGGAGUAUCAUAGUGAUCAAAAUCAAAGGUCUCUGCUGUCCUGGAGCACAUGCUCUACAGGGAAAAUGAACAGUGAGGAUGCACAAGGCUAGAAGAACAAGCUAAAUGGCACCUGCCCAGACAAGGCCUUCAGAGGGACUUUCCAUGGGUUCGCAGCAGUUAAAUGCAGAAGUACAAACUGGGGGGCUGAAUCCACUCUGGGUUAAAAGAGCCUUACCACCAAAUAUGGAUUUUAUAGCAGGAAAAUGUAAUGCAUAGGUCUGGUCUGAAUUCUGAUUCAAAAAAUAUGCAUUCAAGAGACAAUAUCAGGGGAUCGUUGACAUCUGUUCUGUAGUAAUUGUAGUGUGAUUAGGGACAAAAAAACCCCUUAUAUACUGCUUAGAGCUGAACUCUGAAUUAUGUAAGAUAGACAUUAUAUACUGUCUGGAAAGAAAAAGAAAAAAUGUAAAAUUCUUGUGGAAAAAUCUGAUAAUUAUUUAAUUUGGUUGAUGAGUAUAUAGGUGUUCAUUGAACUAUUGUCUUUUCUUUGCAAACUAAUAUUUUAUAAUACAAAUUAAAAAUCAAAAUGACAAUGAAAAUGUGUUAUUGUGCAUAUUUAUCAUGUGCACAAUGUGCAGAGCAAAAGAAGGAAUGGAGACAAUGGGUUUGUUUUCUAAGCUCCCAAUUUAUCAACCUCACUUUGAUAUUCUUUCUGGUAUCUUUAAACUGAGCCGGUGGCUAUUUUAUCAAGCUGAAUCUCUAAGGAAUAUGCUAUUCACAGAUCACCUUUGGAAGAUUUUACGUUUGAAUAUAUUCUUUGUUAGAUUAACAAAUAGUUUCUGGAAGGACUCAGUGAAGAUAAUGAAAAAAUCUAUAGAAGAAAGAUGAUAUGACAGAAAAACCCAAGUGGAGGAAAAUCUCAGGGAAUGAGAUGCAUUUUACCUCAUCCUGGGUGAAACGGGAGGCCGAGAUAAUGCCCUCGUGGAGAGCAGACACAAUGAAGUUGUCGUUGUUGAUUUAAAUUCCCUUGCACGGUGAAAAGUGUGUGGAAUUGGAAGAGAGGCGACCAGUCAUGAAGACACUGCUGACGAGAGGGCCGUCAGCUCGCACGGGGAUGGUGGCAGUGGCGAUGGAGAGACGCGGGUGGAUCAGGAGCAUGGACAGGAGUUGCGAGGUCCAGCGAUCGCCUAGGGCCUAUUCCCUCAGAACCUCCCCCGUUGGCCAUGCCCUGCGGAAGAGCUCAAGAAUCACACUCCUUCCUGGGCCUCAGAGAAGGAAGAUGGCUUUUAGGGAACAGGUGUCUGCCCACCCUAGGGCAGCAGGCAAAUCAUUCAACAGCUUUUGCUCCCAGCCCUGGGCGUCCUUAAGGUGGCUCCAAAUGGGUCCCAACCACCUUUUAGGCAUCAUCGAAUCAACGCCGGAGAAACAUUUUGACGAUUUUGUUGCUUGAUGUCCGUCUAAAUGGCGCACGUGCUCCUGACUCUGCAGAGGAGAUGCUGGACCCUGGGCCCGCCUGAUCCCAUGGGAACUGAGUGAGCCACAGGCCAGAUUUGCGGUGAUAACGGCUGAGAACUUUCCAUCCUCAUACAAGCUGGGUCUCAAAUUCCUAAGGAAACUCCUGCAGAGCCGCGCUGUUUGCUUUUGAAAGAUCAUAUCCUGACUUGCCUAUGGAGCCUUUGGUCGGAGGUGGGAUAAUUUUUGCAGCUGGGGGGAACCUAUACCUUGCUGGGGAAAAUCAGCAUGAAACAAUUAAUCACUCAUCCAAAAAUAAGAAUCCUAACCGAAGGGUGUUCACCGAUGAAAGAGCAAAGAAAACAUGUGCAGAGACAGUCUUCCUUCUGAUAGGCAGUGAUUUUUAAAGCAAAUUCUUCAUGUUUGGGAGUUGCUUCUUUCUUUGCUUUUUAUUAAACAGAGUUUUGUUUUCCUGAGUAAAAAAGAAUCUUAUUUUCAAAGGGCUGUUAUCCUGCUGCUUGCUCCCCAUAUGAAAUUAUCUUGCAGAGUAACAGGGCCUGGUGUUCUGGAAAUUGCAUAUGGGAUUUCUUAGUUUAAGAUCAAAGUCCUGUGACUGGAAGUUCACAAGAGUCACUCUUUUUCUUUCUAUUCAUACUUACAUUUUUAUUUUUCAAAACCAAUGCAUCAGAAAUUAUAUAUUUUAUGGAAAAUGAUAUGAUGUUGUGAAAUAUGUACACAUUACGGCAUGGCUGAACCAAGCUACUUAACACAUGCAUCCUCACAUGCUUACUAUGAUUUUGUGGUGAGAACACAUAAAAUCUAUUAUCUCAGUAUGUUUCCCAUCAGUCACUGCCUUGAAAUUGAACAGUUUUCAUAUAUCUUCUAAAUUUAACAUUUCAAAUUUGGCUUUCAUAAAAUAUUUUAGUUAUUAUGUUAGUACUUAACUGAGGAAUAGCUCAAACUUGGUACAUUCAUUUGUACAUUCUGAAUUAGUGGAAAGAGUUUGGGGUUAUAAAUGGGGAUGUAGAGCCACACCUCCUCCCAAUCAGAGGCAAACUCUGCUGCCAUGACAAAGGAGAAGCCAGCAGCUUCAGGGUGCGUGGUCAGUCUGUAAUGACAUUAGUACUGUCUUCGCAGGGGCCAGCUCACUGGAGUUCUAGCUCUAUUGUUCGCACUGAACUUUUACCUUUCCACAGAGUUAAAUGCAUUGCCAGUGUCCCAGUGUAUUCAGAAUUAAGCUGCCCUUACCUAUUCAGAGUUAGUAAAAAGAGACUUAUAUUUUGUCCUAGUAUUUUAUUUUCUACAUGAUUUCUCUCUCUUGGAAUUUAUUUUGGUAUAUGGUGUGAAGAGAUGAUCUAAAAUGAUGUUUCUCUGAAAUAGUUGCCUCAGUUGUCUCUUCUUUCACAUUUGAUUUUAUUUCUUUGUAAUAUAUAACAUUAUUAAAAUUAAUAUAAUUUCAAACAAAUAUUUCUGACAUUUCUUGUAUAUAUCCUACUUUAUCGAUGUGUCUGUUUUUGCAUCAACAGUAUGUCUUAAUUAAAGUGCCUUAUGGUAUGUUUUAAUAUAAAGUUGGGCUACUUCCAAAUGAAUGCUCUUUAGUGAGAGAAUUUAUGUAAAACUCCUAUAUCUAUCUACGUGUCCCCAUGUGGAUGCACACAGCAAUUGGGAGAUUUUCUAUGGCACCAUCCUAUCCUGUCUUGGACCUUAGCCUUCAUCCAGAGGAGCACUGUGUGUGCUGUCUCCCACCAAGCCAGGGGUCUGAGCAACUUUAGCAUCUACACUAUUCCAUUAGUGUUACCUCCACACCUACCAGUUAGCACCCAAUCUAGCACUGCCUAUACCUGCUCACUGCAUGCUGCAUUGCUAGUUUUAGAGUCAUGAUUUUUUUUUUUUUUUUGGUACCAGGGAUCGAACUCAGGUCCUUGUACUUGCGGUGCAGGCAGCAGAAACACUGAGCUAAAUCCCCAGCCCUUAGGGUCAUAAUAUUAAAAAAGUUAAUAAUGUCUGAAUUUUUACUUAGGGACCAAAAGUUGAUUGUGUUUUAACCUAUACUCAACUUUCUUUCAGAUAUAAAAUAUUCUUCUCUAAGAAGGAGAAAGGUAUAGUAUUUACUUGAAUUAGUAUCAUGCCUAUGUGGUCCAACUGAGAGGUGAAGAAAACAGGCUGAGGAGGGACUUUCUGAAAUUUAGAUCAGAUAAAAUACUUUAUUUGUACAAAAAGCAAUUAGUAAUAAUUGGACUUUUUAAACUCACAAACAAGACUAAAGACAGCAAAACAUAUGAGAUAAUAAAAAUAUCCAUUAUCCACUCCACAUUAUUUGUAAUAACUUCAAAUGAUAAAAGAUUACAUUAAAAAUCCAAUUUAGGGGCCAGGGAUUUAGCUCAGUGGUUCCACCGCCUGCCUUGCAAGCACAAGGACCCAAGUUCGAUCCCCAGUACUCCCUGCCAAAAUAAAUCCAAUUUAAAAAAUUUUUAUUGCAUAUAAAUUGACAAAUUACAUUUGUGUAUAUGUACUGGGUACAAAGUGAUCCUAAGAUUUAUGGAUAUGAGGAGUCAUUAAAUUAAACUAAUUAAUAUAUCUAUCACCUCAAAUGCCAUAUUUUGGUGGUAACAUUUGAAAUUACUGUUACUGAUUUUGGUAUGACAAAUAAAUUUUAAUUGAUUUAGACACAAUGGCCAUGUGUAUGUUCCCUUUUUAGGUUGGAGUUAUUGGAAAAAAUAAGGCAUACAAUAAAGUUUUGUGAUUUUUUAAUAAAGUUUGGUACUUGGUUUAAGAAAAUGUUUCUCAGUCGUGAAGGUAUAGGAUCAAACCAAAUGUCCAUUAACAGAUGAAUGGAUAAAGAAAAUGUGACUAUAUAUGUGAUAAAAUAUCUCAACCAUACAAAAUAAAAUUUUGCAGCAACAUGGAUGGAAUUGGAGAACAUUAUGUAGGUAAAUAAAUCAAACACAAAAUGACAAAUACUGCAUAUUUUCACUGCAUAUGGAGGCCAGAAGGUUGACCUCAGAGAUACAGAGUUGCAGAGUGGUACCUGGAAUGCAGGCCUGGGAAGGGAGUGGGUAGCUGAAGGAUGGUUCAGGGGUAUAGGGCCGGCUGGAGAGGAGCGAUAACCCAACAUUCUCUAUUGUACAGCAGGACAGCUAUAGUUGACAAUAACUAGUUGUAUACUGUAUUUCAAAAUAGCUAGUAGAAAGGAUUUCGAGCUUUCCCAACACAGAGAAGUGGUGAGUGUUUCACAGGAUGGAGUUGUCAGCUAUCCUGAUCUGAUCAUAAUACCUCACACACGAGCAUUUAAAGAAAUAUGUACAAUUAUUAUGUGUUAAUUAAGAACAAAUAAAAUGAAAUGCUGCAAAGAAGUGUUUUUUGUCUAUGGCAUGCUAGAACAGAAGUAUUAUUUUAGUUCAUGAUAACAAUGAUUUUCCAGAGGAAGAAAUAUGAGAAAAAGUAUAGGGAAGGUCUAUUUGCCUAAGUAUGACACGAUUAAUAUGAUUUCAAAAGACAUUAGGGAUUUUUAUCUAUCUUGUCUUGUUCCAAACAAGGGGAUACAGAGGAAAAAGGAUGAAAAUCCCUCAUAACAAGUCCCACAUAUCGAUCUUGGUUUAACCUUUAAAAGGAAGCAUUCCUAUUUUCAUUAUGAAACUAUAAUAUCUUCCAACUAAGGGAUUCAGAGCAAACGUUCAUUCCCGAGCAUGGCUUUCUGAUUUCCCACGGCCUGUGGCAGGGUGAAGAUGCUCAGGCUGCAGGCUGAGCAUCCAGGAGGGCACAGAGAGGGGUUUCUCAGGCUCACGACGGAUUACCAGAGACCAUGGAUUACCAGAGACCACAUCUUUCCACACAUCCCCAUCACUGAAGAGAUCACUCGGGCUGCGAAUCACUGUAGAAAUGGAGGACGAGGAACAAGCAAGGGGAUGUGGUGCAGAGAUGACUCUGGAGAGCUGAUAACUAAAAAGGCACAAGGCAGAAAGACAGCUUGUGAGAACCCACUGACGCUUCACAGCCGGUCUUAUCUUCUGAGAGCUGGAGAACUCUUGGGUCCUUUCCCAAAGUUCCCUGUUAACUUUCACUGACACUGAGGUUUUCAUGCCACGGACUUAACAUCUUCAAGAUCAAAUAGAAAAUAGUAUUUCAAUCAUAAGGGUGAACUUCAGCAUAACUUGGCAGCUUUCAAGUCUCAGAAGUUAAAUGGGUCUAGGAUUUAUAAACGCCUCAUUACAGAGGAUCAGGGAUUGAAAUCUCUAACUGGUCCUCAGGGCUUCAGGGUGUUACCAUCUAAAGGGCAGUGGCUUUUGUUAAAGCAUGAUUAGCUGCUCCAUCAUUAAAAGUCAUUUUGAUUGUGAAAUGUUCUUGUAUAGAUUUAGAAGAGACAAAACAGGUUAAAAAAACUAUAGCACACUUAGUAUUGACCAAUUAGCAUUAAGUAUUUUUUCAGUUGAAGAGAGUUGAUUCUUAGACAAUAUCAAAAGGAUUUUACUUCACUGCCAUCUUAAUUAAUGACUGCAUUCAAGGAUGUUUUAAAAAUUUGAAUUAUUUAAAAUAUCUUCUUGGCAAUAUUUAAUUUCCUAUCCCAAGAGCCUCUGAGAAAUAUUUUAAAUUUGUGUAACAGUCUGCAAUGACCUUUUAUUUCUUUAAAGGUCCUGGAUUUCAGCUUCCUGCUAAGCGUGUAUCCCUGAGGCACUGACCCUGGCUGGCUCACCUCCUGUUCAGCAUCUGGGCCAAGGCCCUGGGAUUCUGCCACCAUGAGGGACAUCGGAGGCAGUGGCACAUGCUGGCAUUUGGGGACACCAGCCAGAGCAGCUGCUGCUCCGCAUCUCCUGUCAAGGGUAGGCCACAGCAGCCUGGAAAGCCUCAGUCCUCCCUUUUCACACCAUCCCACUGCUUUCUGCAAUUUCUCUGCGGUGACACACACGGUAGCUCAUUUACGUGUGCUGGAAAAGGAUGUAGCAGAUGGCUGAGGCAGCAUCUCUUUGUUGAAUUAUAGUCAAUCUUGAAUAGCAGCUACUAUUACUAUCUUGGAUAUCUAAAGGCCUUUGUUGAAGUGUGGAGCUUAAAUGCUUCAAUAGUUUUUCUGCCGAUGAUUUGAUUCUUUGACUUUUAUAUUCUGAAUUAAAUUUCAGAUAUUUUGUUGAGCCAGUGGCUUGACAAUUAUUUUUCUAAAAGAAAAAGUUAUUUUUCUACAGUUUGGCUUUAGAAAUAUCACACGUGCUUUUACUUUAGGACUUGAUUUAGGGUAUUUGAAAAGUAUAACUUUACAAUAACUAUUACUUAAUAUUACAGAAUUAUGGUUAAGCUUUAUUCUGGAUAUAAGAUUAAAAGGUAAAGAUGAGUGGAUGCACAUUUUGUUCAGGUUUGACAUUUCUCUCUCUCACAGGAAGAGUGAUAAUGUAUAGAGUAGGAGGGUUACAGGGAACUGUACAGAAUGACAAUUCAGGAAGAAGUUGUGUUUCCAAUUAAUGACUGUUAGAUUAAAAGGCCUACUGAGAAAACUUGGGCUGCAUGAUACGACACCAAUGUGCCAAGCCAGUGGAACAGCGUAACGAAAUCCAUAAAACCUGAAUGUUGAAGCAGGCAUUAUCACAGUUGGUAAAAUUGCCAUGGCUGAAAUGAUUAGAAGGAAUUAUGGGCAGUCCAGGGAAAUAAAAUUAAAAUGAAAGGACUAUAAACAUUGUGUGGUUCCAAGUAUAAGCCAAAACAGUAAUCAGGCAAAACUGUAGAACUAUUGAGGGCAAAAAUAAUUUUUUAAAAAUGUGUUUUCCUUAGUACAAUCCCUAGAAUGAUAGAUCUUUUUCCCCCAGAUGAGUGCAGAUUUCCCAAUGGAAACUGUUUACUUGACAAAAUGACACUGUUUAGCACAGGUAGCGUGGAUUUGUGGAGUGGUUGUUAACGUUAGACAGCAUUGGAGUUGUUAUAGUCGAAGUAAUGCGAGAGAUUUUUAUAAUUUGUAUUUCAACAGAACAAGGCUAAGAAAAGAAGUAGAAGAUCGAUGGACCUAAUUUUAAGUUUAGUCAACUUUGAAAAAAGUCUGUUGAAUAUUAAAAAACCCUAAAAACAUUAAAAAUAGAAAUUUCAUUUGAUCCAGCUAAUUCCUUCUAGAUAUCUUCCCAAAAGAGUUUAACGUCACCAUAUUAUAGGGAUACAUGCAUAUCCAUGUUCAUAGCAGAGCAUUUCUAAGAGAGAGAUCUUGGAAAUGGUGUAUACGUCCAUCAGCAGAUGGACGGAGAAAGAUGUGGUAUUUAUACCCAACAGGGUACUGUACUACUCUGCCAUAAAGAAAGAUAAACUUGAAGCAUUCGUAGGCAAAUGGAUGCAUCUUGAGAACAUAAUGUUAAGUGAAAUGAAUCAGACACACAAAAUUUAUGAUUUUGAAAGCAUGUUUGACUUAAAGCUGUGUUUGCAGCAUACAGACAUCCCUCGUUUAGCAACUGAGUUGCAUUGUGUGCAUUACAGUAUUCAAGAAAACGGUCAAAGAAAUAGCCAACAGGAUGACUUUGCUUUUAUUUGCAUAACUCUUACAUGCAGCACUGUAAUGUAUAACAGAUCAUAAAACUAUAGGACUGUGCUGUAGAAGAAGCCACCAUAAGGCUGCACUGCUCCUCACGUUCCUAUCCUGUAAGUGCAGGUCGUUAAGUCUGAGCAGUGCACCUAGGGUGAAGGUCUGAACAGUUGCUAACCAGGUAGGUCACUAAAUAAGGAACAGCUGUAUUUAUAUUUUCUAUUCUUGUUGAGUAUUUUCAUCCCAGAAAAUUUCAUAAAACCUGUUUUCCAGUAGGUAAGAAGUUUAUUUGGAGUUAUUUUUUCACUAUGUCUUGUCUCUUUUUUUGAAGCACAACUCUAAAGGUAAAGAAACUUCGUAUCACUAGGAAGCUUGGGGUGAAUGGACACUGCUUAGGUCUGAGAGACCUGUGUUCAAAUCUGGUAUCUACCCAUCUCAAUUUAUUCCUUGAUAUAGUUGAUUGGAUCUCUGAGGUCUUUUAUUUUUCUUGAAAGUUUUAACUUUCUGAUGAUCUAGAGUUGCUGACCUUUCAACAUAAACAUGAAGGUCUUCUUAAGGUAUAAGAGAAGUAUUUUUAGUUAUUUGAAAAUGAGUAAGAGAAAGCCUUUGAAUAUUUGGGCCUUUCUUGCAAAUUAGAGAGAUUUCCCAUUUUAUCUGCCCUUACUUCUGUUAUCCGUAAUUGGAUUUACUGGAUUUAACAGGAACAAAGAAAUAUUUAUGAACUGGUUCAUCUCUGUUUCUUUCUCUGGAAAAGACAAGAAGAUCAUUAAGCUACACAUGACUUGUCACUCAAGGAGGAGAUGUGCUUUCCUCUCCAGAAGUUCAGGGUUAACUUGCCUUUCUAUCAUUUGUAAUCUCCAGAUAUAUAUAGUCAGUAAGUCUGGGUAAACAGUGUGCAGGAUAUUCAGGGUUUGAUAUGGAAAUUGAGACAGUCCAAAAUGCUUAGAUCUAAUGAAUCAGAAACUUAAAUUCCAGUACCAGAGAUGGGUCUUUCUGUCCCCUUCAGUUGGAUAAAAGUUUUCUAAAUAUUAUCCUUAAGUCAGAUAGAAAGUAUAAUAAGUUUCUAGGACUUAGAAUCCUGCCAUUUUGGUUUGAAUUAAAUUAAGAAUGGGGUAAAGGAAAUUAAAAGUCUGAAUUUAAUUUCUAUAGGAAACAGUUCUUAUUUUCAGAGCAAAAUUGGACUCAAUGGGAAAAAAGUAAGCAUGUAUCUUUCUGUUGAUUUAUAAAUUACUGAAACUUGAAUGAAAGGCCAGUUGAUAGAAAACGACUAACUGAAGAUAAAAUUCCAACUUCAGCAAAUUUUGAAUCUCAUAUACGAAUUGAUCAAAUUUCUGAGUAGGAGGCUAUUCUGAGGGAAGCAAAACCAAGCAAAUUCUUACAAAAUAAUAGGUAAAUCAUGGCCAAGAGAGUGAGUGCUACUGGGAAUAAAAAACAAAACAAAAGCCCAUUAAAAUGUGAAACCUCAAAAAAGCAAACCACAUUAGAAAAGAAAAAUGUUCCCAAGCCACAAAUAGGGUGUUCAAGAGAAACAUCUCAGAAGCCCAGUGACGACUGCACAUUUUUCAGUUAAAUAUGAAGAUUAUCACCCGUGUGGUGGUUAGACUAUUCUUACAAGUAGUUUCUCAGUGCCUAAAACUGUCACUUUGAUGUAACAGCUAACAAAAUUAAUAUUUAAAGAAAGGUCUGGUUUUCAAUAGUAAGAAUAAAUAUUUGAUAUAAAGUAAUUUGGCACCUUCACUUUUUUAUUAAUUUUAUUGGUACAUUUUAGGUAUACAAUAUAGUGACAUUCAUCAUUGGAAAUCUGCACCUUCACAUAAUCUCUCUAGGUUCUUAUUUUUCCCC